GUAGCUCACUAGUUUCACAACUCAGGAAGUUUCUUUUGCUUCCUGUAACAUGGCAAAUAAUCUCAUUGAAGUAUUGUAUUGCAAUUAUUUCUCAAUCUAUCUCAUGGUUCCAAAAUGUCACAGAUUCUAUUUUACAAUGGCCUUUGGAUGUUCUUCCCCGGAUGCUAAGUUCCGACAAACAUGCCACCUAGAGAGGAAGAGAACCUGAGGCUCAAGGUUGCGUCCGAAUCUGUUAAUAGUAAGGGAAGAUCUUAUGAGACCAUGAAAAAGGUGUCGAGGAACAUAUUCCAGUACGCAAAUUUCCUAGUCUUCUUGCACCAGUUUCUCUCAGUCAUGGCUGUCGACGAAUGAACUGAUGGCAGCGGCUUCUUGUUGACGCCGACUACUUAAAGAGAGAGUUAGAGAUGACUUAAAACUGUUCAUAACAACACACUGUGCUCAAGGUUUGGCGGCCGCUCUUUUUGGAGUCGGAGGCGGUGCGGUGAUCUUAAGUAGAAAGGCCAUCAUGCUUCACGGUGGUGCGCUGCCCUCGUCGAUGUCCUGCGAGAGGUGGUGGUCGACGGCGUUUUGGAUGCCGGAAGACAAUCCACUCCGUUCGGAUCGGAUCCAAUCAUCCGUUUCGGAUCGGAUCCACUCUUAGGCGGCCCUAAGAAACCCUCCUCAAUUCCCGGUCAGCGCGGCGGCAAAAUAUACUCGGUUAUGUUGAAGAUUUCUACGUAAGAAGCACGGCAUCGUCGCUCAUGGCUUCGAGCUCCGCGAUCUUCGGCGCAAAGCUGAAGGAUUCUGGCUUCACGUCAUGCUUCUCGCCUUCGAUGAGAGCGCGUCGUUGCCGGAAGCACGCCUUGAACAAAGUGCUUGCAGUUGCGGCGCCUGCCCGAUCUCCCUGCUCGCCAUCGAUCACUGGCUCAGUUGGGAAUCCAUUCCUUCUGAUUUGACGUGGGUUCUUUUGAUGUGUUCUUUAGU